rnacentral:rRNA from 1 species
GGCAAAGGAUGUGCGUCCGCCCAGACAACCAGGAUGUUGGCUUAGAAGCAGCCAUACAUUCAAAGAGUGCGUAACAGCUCACUGGUCGAGUGGACAUGCGCCGACAAUACACGGGGCUAAGCUGGACACCGAAGCGGCGGGAUUUUAAUUCAUUAGAAUCGGUAGGGGAGCUUCCCAUGGGCGGAGAAGCCGGAGGGCGACCGACGGUGGAGCGCAUGGGAGUGAGAAUGCUGGCAUGAGUAGCGAGAGACGAGAGAGUAACUCGUCCGCCGUGAACCCGAGGUUUCCUGGGCAAGGCUAAUCCUCCCAGGGUCAGUCGGGGGCUAAGGCGAGGCCGGUAGGCGUAGCCGACGCGCAGCAGGCAGACAUUCCUGCACCGCGCACGCGGCGCUACGACCGACGGGGCGACGGAUGGGGGUGGCUCGGCGGGGUUCUGGACGUCCCCGUGAUGGAGCGCGGCCCGCGGACCAGGGAAAUCCGGUCCGCAUUGAGGGCGAGGCUCCGGACGAAGCGAUUGAGCGAAGCGAGUGAGCCCGAGGUCCCUAGAAAAACCCCUAGGCAGGCGCGUGCGCGCCCGUACCGCAAACCGACACAGGUGGGUGGGUAGAACAUACCGAGGCGAUCGGGUCAACCAUGGUCAAGGAACUCGGCACAAUGGCCCCGUAACUUCGGGAGAAGGGGUGCCCGCGCGUACGUGAACCGGCUCGCCCGGGGAGCGGAGGCGGGCCGCAGUGGAGAGGCCCAAGCGACUGUUUACCAAAAACACAGGACUCUGCAGAAGCCGCAAGGCGACGUAUAGGGUCUGACGCCUGCCCGGUGCCGGAAGGUCACGCGGAGGAGUUAGCGCAUCGCGCGAAGCCCCGAAGCCAAGCCCCGGUAAACGGCGGCCGUAACUAUAACGGUCCUAAGGUAGCGAAAUUCCUUGUCGGGUAAGUUCCGACCUGCACGAAAGGCGCAACGACUUGGGCGCUGUCUCGACCAUGGACCCGGUGAAAUUGCACUGGUCGUGAAGAUGCGACUUACCCGCGGAAGGACGGAAAGACCCCGUGAACCUUCACUGCAGCUUGGCAUUGGCCGCUGGUCCCGCGUGUAGAGGAUAGGCAGGAGGCAUCGAUCCGGAGGCGCCAGCCCCCGGGGAGCCGCCCUUGGAAUACUGCCCUCGCGCGACCGGCGUCCUAACCCGAGGCCGUCAACCGGCUCGGGGACCGUGCCAGGCGGGCAGUUUGACUGGGGCGGUCGCCUCCUAAAGGGUAACGGAGGCGCGCGAAGGUCCGCUCGGGACGGUCGGCAACCGUCCUUUUGAAUGCAAGAGUACAAGCGGGCUUGACUGCGAGGCCCACAAGCCGAGCAGGUGCGAAAGCAGGCUCUAGUGAUCCGGCGGCCCCGAGUGGGUGGGCCGUCGCUCAACGGAUAAAAGGUACUCCGGGGAUAACAGGCUGAUCUUGCCCAAGAGUCCACAUCGACGGCAAGGUUUGGCACCUCGAUGUCGGCUCAUCGCAUCCUGGGGCUGGAGCAGGUCCCAAGGGUACGGCUGUUCGCCGUUUAAAGCGGUACGCGAGCUGGGUUCAGAACGUCGUGAGACAGUUCGGUCCCUAUCCUCCGUGGGCGCAGGAGAAUCGAUGGAGGCUGCCCCCAGUACGAGAGGACCGGGGUGGACGCACCUCCGGUGAACCGGUUGUCGACCAACGGCACGGCCGGGUAGCCGCGUGCGGCGCGGAUAACCGCUGAAGGCAUCUAAGCGGGAAGCCGUUCCAGGGAUUAGUUCU